ACAUACCUAUACGUUGCCUCGGCGGAUCAGCCCGCGCCCCGUAAAACGGGACGGCCCGCCCGAGGACCCCUUUUAGUGGAACUUCUGAGUAAAACAAACAAAUAAAUCAAAACUUUCAACAACGGAUCUCUUGGUUCUGGCAUCGAUGAAGAACGCAGCAAAAUGCGAUAAGUAAUGUGAAUUGCAGAAUUCAGUGAAUCAUCGAAUCUUUGAACGCACAUUGCGCCCGCCAGUAUUCUGGCGGGCAUGCCUGUUCGAGCGUCAUUUCAACCCUCAAGCUCAGCUUGGUGUUGGGACUCGCGGUAACCCGCGUUCCCCAAAUCGAUUGGCGGUCACGUCGAGCUUCCAUAGCGUAGUAAUCAUACACCUCGUUACUGGUAAUCGUCGCGGCCACGCCGUAAAACCCCAACUUCUGAAUGUUGACCUCGGAUCAGGUAGGAAUACCCGCUGAACUUAAGCAUAUCAAUAAGCGGAGGAAU
rnacentral:rRNA from 1 species